CCUAACCAAGACAAAGACAUCUGCCCCCUUUUAAUCCCCAUCUCUUUCGCUAAAAAAUCCUAGGAGGAAUCUCUAAGAAGAGCACCCAUCGGCCACCUUUAAUCUCCAAAACAAAAAGCUCACCGGAAAACUGGCCGCACACACCACGCAAUACAUCUGCCGCACCUCCCUUUCCCUCAAGACCAGGCUUUCAUCUCCAUUUCUCAACUAGAAAACGCCCACGAACUAAAAAAAGAGGAAAUGGACGAACAAAAACAGGGGCAGGAUUAGCAUUGUACAAUGUUUUUAUAAUCACUCCCUUCAUUACAUUGUGUCCGUUGUAUUACUAGCACCAGAAUCAUCCAGUCAACUUCUUGCUUCUCGGGUUGUUUACGUUGCUUUAGCCUUUGCUGUGGGAUUAACUUGUGUGUUCACUAGUGGCGAGAUGGAGUUUCGAUUGAGCUGAGGUCGAUUCCGAUUUGAGUUCCUGUCGCUUAUUCGAGCCCCCGUCUGCCGUUCGCCACAUUUUUCAGUUCAAAGCAGUGAAACAAUCACUUUUCAGUUCUAUUGAGAAUUUGUCGAACACCGUUGAAGAAGAGGCAAAAAAUGUAUUUUCAAUAAGCUAAAAGUCGUUUGGAGGCCAAUUAGCGGAGGAAGGGCUUUUUGGAGUAUUGAUUUGCGCAUUUUGAGAUCCAGGUACAUCCGGUCGAGGGAAUUUCCAGAGUUGAGUUGCUAUUAGCUGUUGGGAGACUAGGAGGUAGUUGUUACGUCGUCCGCGGUACUUGAAGUUCUCUUUCAGUUAUUUCUAUCUUUACUGUUAUAUUGUUCAGAUAGUUGUAUUAGAGGAUUUUGCUUGUAUCUUGUUAUUCAAUAGUGCUCGUGCACUCGUUGGCACCAAGUUUGCAGUCUUAUGGUUGUGUUCUCAGAUAUUUCAUGAUAUUUUUUUGUUGUUGAGUUGUUAAACCACGUUAUUCGAUUUCAUAGUUAUUAUGUGACUGUUAGCUAACCUAGCGAGUCGGGUUAGGUGCCAUUACGAC